AACGAACGCUGGCGGCGUGGAUAAGACAUGCAAGUUGAACGCUAAUUCCGGUGUAGCAAUACAUCGGAGUUGGAGUAGCGCAAGGGUGCGUAACACGUGGGUAAUUUGCCGUGAAGUUGGGGAUAACUCGCUGAAAGGCGAGCUAAUACCGAAUGUGAAGUUUGGGUGGCAUCACCUGACCUUUAAAGCUGGGGAUCGUAAGACCUGGCGCUUUAUGAUAAGCCCGCGGCCAUCAGCUAGUUGGUGAGGUAACGGCUCACCAAGGCUAAGACGGGUAGCUGGUCUGAGAGGACGACCAGCCACACUGGAACUGAGACACGGUCCAGACACCUACGGGUGGCAGCAGUCGAGUAAUUUUUCUCAAUGGGCGCAAGCCUGAAGGAGCGACGCCGCGUGUGGGAUGAAGGGUUUCGAUCCGUAAACCACUGUCAUUUGUGAACAUGGUUAUCCGUGAAUAACGGAUGACUUGAUAGUAACGAAAGAGGAA
rnacentral:rRNA from 1 species